rnacentral:rRNA from 1 species
CCUACGGGAGGCAGCAGUGAGGAAUAUUGGUCAAUGGACGAGAGUCUGAACCAGCCAAGUAGCGUGAAGGAUGACUGCCCUAUGGGUUGUAAACUUCUUUUAUAUGGGAAUAAAAUGUUCCACGUGUGGGAUUUUGUAUGUACCAUAUGAAUAAGGAUCGGCUAACUCCGUGCCAGCAGCCGCGGUAAUACGGAGGAUCCGAGCGUUAACCGGAUUUAUUGGGUUUAAAGGGAGCGUAGGUGGAUUGUUAAGUCAGUUGUGAAAGUUUGCGGCUCAACCGUAAAAGUGCAGUUGAAACUGGCAGUCUUGAGUACAGUAGAGGUGGGCGGAAUUCGUGGUGUAGCGGUGAAAUGCUUAGAUAUCACGAAGAACUCCGAUUGCGAAGGCAGUUCACUGGACUGCAACUGACACUGAGGCUCGAAAGUGUGGGUAUCAAACAGGAUUAGAUACCCUUGUAGUC